rnacentral:lncRNA from 10 species
GACAGGGCCUGUAUUAGGACAUGUACCAAAUAUGGUAGGAAAAUUAAGUGGGGGAGGGUCAAUUAGUUAUCAGUAGUCCUGGUCAGAGAUAUCUUCAUGAAAAGGUGACCCCUGAGCUAAGCUUUAACAUCAUCUGGACAGAAUUUCUAGGGGCAGAAAGGGAGCAGGAGGUAGUACAGAUGCACAAGCAAUAGGCAGAGGUGAGAAUAGGAACUGCUGCCCAGAGCAUAGGUUUACAAAAGGCAGAGUCAGCAAUAAGGCUGGAAAGGUAGGCUGAGGUUGAACCAAGGGAAACCAGGAUAGCAGAUUUGGAUGUAAUUCCACCGGCAAUGUACCAUCCAUGAGAAUUUCUAAGUAGAACAAGAUCAGACCUGUGUCCCAACCAAGUUAUUCUGGCCACAGGGUGUAGGAUGAAUUGAUGGAGACAGAGACAACAGAUUGAGGUCUCUUCCAUGGGAGAGCUCAUUACAAGAGCUCAAGAAGUAACAAGCACCUAACAAGGGGCAGCACGAAGAGAAUGCUAACAUCAAUUGAGAAAGACAUUGCAA